rnacentral:rRNA from 1 species
AUGCUUCUCCUAAAGACUAAGCCAUGCAUGUCUUCGAAUAAGAGGUAGCAAUUCUCUCUGAAUCUGCGAACGGCUCCGCAAACCAGUUGUAAACCAUAGCAGCGUUCCGCCCGGCUUCAGCAAUGGAGCCGGACAUUAUAUGGAUAACCGUGGUAAUUCUGAGGCUAAUACAUGACACACCAACCUGCCGGGCUGGGGCAACCCGGCUUGCUGGGGGACGUGCGAAUCAGCAAUGCUAUAACGAACAUCGGGAAUGAGCG